GUGCUAAAAUGGCCAUAUAAUAAGGUUAAAAAAAUACCAUGUGACUCCCCGGGGUAUCUACUUUCCUGUAAUUAAAUGCAAGACUUCUGAAGCUGCGUCCUUAAGGGGUUAAAUAAUCGUGCAUAGAUUGUGAAUGAUGAACCAACUAUUCAGCCUCUUUGGAACUCUGGAAGUUGCCUCUUGUUCCUUUUGACAAUUCACAUAUCAAGGUACUAAUAGCCACAGGCUAAAAACCAUGGUUGUAAGCUCGUCU